AGAACGAACGCUGGCGGCAGGCCUAACACAUGCAAGUCGAACGCUCGUAGCAAUACGAGAGUGGCAGACGGGUGAGUAACGCGUGGGAACCUUCCCAGUGGUACGGAAUAGCUCAGGGAAACUUGAGGUAAUACCGUAUACGCCCUUCGGGGGAAAGAUUUAUCGCCAUUGGAUGGGCCCGCGUAGGAUUAGCUAGUUGGUGAGGUAACGGCUCACCAAGGCGACGAUCCUUAGCUGGUCUGAGAGGAUGAUCAGCCACACUGGGACUGAGACACGGCCCAGACUCCUACGGGAGGCAGCAGUGGGGAAUAUUGGACAAUGGGCGCAAGCCUGAUCCAGCCAUGCCGCGUGAGUGACGAGGCCUUAGGGUUGUAAAGCUCUUUGGCGGGAAGAUAAUGACGGUACCGCAGAAUAAGCUCCGGCUAACUUCGUGCCAGCAGCCGC
rnacentral:rRNA from 1 species